rnacentral:rRNA from 1 species
UGAGUACGAGAUGCUACGGCAUCGAAGCAGUCUAUGUCAUACUUCCAAGAAAAGCUUGCACUGUCAUAAACAAGGAAUGCCUGUACCAUAACCGACACAGGUGGGUAGGUAGAGUAUACUAAGGGGCGCGAGAUAACUCUCUCUAAGGAACUCGGCAAAAUGACUCCGUAACUUCGGGAGAAGGAGUGCCUUAUUUCUAAGGUUGCAAUAACAAGAUCCAAGCAACUGUUUACCAAAAACACAGGUCUCCGCUAAGUCGUAAGACGAUGUAUGGGGGCUGACGCCUGCCCAGUGCCAGAAGGUUAAAGAAGUUGGUUAGCAUUAGCGAAGCUGAUAACUGAAGCCCUGGUGAACGGCGGCCGUAACCAUAACGGUCCUAAGGUAGCGAAAUUCCUUGUCGGGUAAGUUCCGACCCGCACGAAAGGCGUAAUGAUUUGGAUACUGUCUCGGAGAGGGGCUCGGUGAAAUAGACUUGUCUGUGAAGAUGCGGACUACCUGCACCUGGACAGAAAGACCCUAUGAAGCUUUACUGUAACUUGAGAUUGAAAUUGGACUUUAUUUGCGCAGUAUAGGUGGGAGGCGUUGAGAAUAAUCUUGCGGGAUUGUUGGAGCCAUCAGUGAGAUACCACUCUUGUAAUGUUAGAUUUCUAACUUUGUAUCAUUAUCUGGUCAAAGAACAGUUUCAGGCGGGCAGUUUGACUGGGGCGGUCGCCUCCCAAAGGGUAACGGAGGCGCACAAAGGUUUCCUCUGAACGGGUAGAAAUCGUAUCUAGAGUGUAAAGGCAUAAGGAAGCUUGACUGUGAGACCUACAAGUCGAGCAGGGACGAAAGUCGGUCUUAGUGAUCUGACGGUGCUGAGUGGAAAGGCCGUCACUCAACGGAUAAAAGUUACUCUAGGAUAACAGGCUGAUCUCCCCCAAGAGUUCACAUCGACGGGGAGGUUUGGCACCUCGAUGUCGGCUCAUCGCAUCCUGGGGCGGUAGUCCGUCCCAAGGGUUGGGCUGUUCGCCCAUGAAAGCGGUACGCGAGCUGGGUUCAGAACGUCGUGAGACAGUUCGGUCCAUAUCCGGUGUAGGCGUUAGAAUAUUGAGAGGAGCCUUCUCUAGUACGAGAGGACCGAGAAGGACAUACCUCUGGUGUACCAGUUAUCGUGCCAACGGUAAACGCUGGGUAGCUAUGUAUGGAGUGGAUAACCGCUGAAAGCAUCUAAGUGGGAAGCCCACCUCAAGAUAAGUAUUCUCAUC